UGACUCGGCUUAAACUAACCCGUCCUGACAGGGUUAAAAGGAGCAAACGACGAACUCGUGCGAAGCGGAGAGACGUUGGCGGGGGGAAUGGCAUCGUUCCACCGGUCCGCCGCCGCCGCCGCGAGGUCCGUCGCCGUACGUUCGGAAACCGUUCUCCCCGGUCCCACGCCGUCGAUGAGAGCGGCUCUCCUGCCGCCGUCGCCUCCUGCGGCCUCAAAUCGUUCCUAGCCGUCGAUUCCUCCUGCUGGAGUUGCUUUCUCAAGAUUUUGCUGUUCCUCGGUGAUAAAAGAUAGAGGACUGCCCAAGUUUCAAGCAGCCUGAGCUACUUGUUAUACUUGUUCAAGAGCCACUCUUCAGAGCCCUGUGAUUGUGCUCUGUGGGAGAGAUUGUUCCUCCAACAUGCUCCUUAUUACAUGUCAUGCUUGUUGAGUUGCUGAUGAUCGUGGAACUACUCAUGUUAUGUUACUCCUUUUCACUAUUGCUAUGCUUUGACUUCAUGUUGGGGUUGUUAAAUCAAUAAAAGUAACAGUGAUUUGUGUCA